ACCCCCACGAGGGCCGCGGCCGUGGGGCGCUGGUAGCUCUCCCGCCCCUCCGCCCUGCACCCCUCCCGCCCUAGGGCUCUUUCCUGGACUGCGGCUGCAGCCUUCUCUUCCCGGAGGGCUCAGAGUUCGUCCCCUUUUCGCGAUUGGGAACGUGGACACGCCGGAGCCUGGAUGCAGAAGGGCGCGCGGGAACAGGGAGCUGGUGCGCGAGCCGCAGCCCAGCGUCCAGGCCGCCCCACUCUCUGCUGAUCCAAAGGACUAGGGAAACCCUGCGCGCCGACGGUGGCCUGGACGUUGGCGCGGGCCCUGGCGCUAAAAAACGGAUCCCAUUUCCAGAAAGGCGGGCCGGGUAUCCCGCUCCUGCCUCCUGGAGAAUUAGCUCGGCGGAGGUCGACCAGCCGGGUAGGGAGGGAGGGAUGGAGGGACAGGCCUAGGGUCGACCAGCCGGAUAGGGAGUAGCUUCUGGGAGCUCCCUUGCCUACGGAGGGCCGGUGAGGCUGCCCUCAGAGCGCCGCCAGCUGCAGCUGAGCCAGAAGCGUCCCCACUGGCUUACCCGAUAGUGGGAUUUUACACGGUGUCGGCUAAGGGUGGCUUUGUGAGAAGACCAUUUCAGAAGAAGAAACGGGGCUCUGGCUGGUGGGGUAGAAACCCCUAUGGAAUGAAAAGUACUCCCAGUCUCUUUGAGGAAGAUUGCAAAUUGGGGUGAGGAAGAGUGUGACUUCCCUACCCAGAGUCUGGUUGAGCACGGAUCCCGCCGAGGAGAGAAGGGUCCCGGCCGGGGGGAAGGUCCCUCUUUCUGGGACAAAGCGAUCCUUAAUUGUGGCCACCUUCCAAAGUCCGGGGCGAAUUCGCUACGCGCGUCUGCCCGGGCGGCGCUUGGUGGGUAGUCCCGCUUCCACCAAAACUCUGUGUUUCCUUUCUCUCAAAAUAAAACUCAACAAGCCAUAAAGCUUCCGACGCCGGUGGAGAAGGCGCCGCGGAUUUAUGGCCCCUGAAUUCCCUACUCUCUAAUUAUCCUUGUUUUUACUUGACUUAUGGGUAGUGACCAAUAAAAUCAUUUUCCAUUU
rnacentral:lncRNA from 1 species